CGCGUAGGUGGAUGCGUAAGUAAAUUGUAAAAGACCCGGGCUUAACCUGGGAAGGUCAAUUUAAACGGCGUGUCUGGAGUGGAGUAGAGGGAAGUAGAAUUUCCGGUGUAGCGGUGAAAUGCGUAGAUAUCGGAAGGAAUACCAGUGGCGAAGGCGUCUUCCUGGACUCUAACUGACACUGAGGCGCGAAAGCAUGGGGAUCAAACAGGAUUAGAUACCCUGGUAGUCCAUGCCAUAAACGAUGAAGACUAGCCGCAUGUGCCUUCGGGUAUGUGUGGCGCAGCUAACGCGAUAAGUCUUCCGCCUGGGGAGUACGGCCGCAAGGUUAAA
rnacentral:rRNA from 1 species